rnacentral:rRNA from 1 species
UGGGGAAUAUUGCGCAAUGGGCGGAAGCCUGACGCAGCGACGCCGCGUGGGGGAUGACGGCCUUCGGGUUGUAAACCUCUUUCGACCUCGACGAAGAGUGAUUGACGGUAGGGGUGGAAGAAGCACCGUCCAACUACGUGCCAGCAGCCGCGGUAACACGUAGGGUGCGAGCGUUGUCCGGAAUUAUUGGGCGUAAAGAGCUCGUAGGCGGUGUGUCGCGUCGGCCGUGAAAACCUGCAGCUUAACUGUGGGCGUGCGGUCGAUACGGGCAUCACUGGAGUUCGGCAGGGGAGACUGGAAUUCCUGGUGUAGCGGUGAAAUGCGCAGAUAUCAGGAGGAACACCGGUGGCGAAGGCGGGUCUCUGGGCCGAUACUGACGCUGAGGAGCGAAAGCGUGGGGAGCGAACAGGAUUAGAUACCCUGGUA